GUGGGGAAUUUUGGACAAUGGGCGCAAGCCUGAUCCAGCAAUGCCGCGUGCAGGAAGAAGGCCUUCGGGUUGUAAACUGCUUUUGUACGGAACGAAACGGUCCGGGUUAAUACCCUGGGCUAAUGACGGUACCGUAAGAAUAAGCACCGGCUAACUACGUGCCAGCAGCCGCGGUAAUACGUAGGGUGCAAGCGUUAAUCGGAAUUACUGGGCGUAAAGCGUGUGCAGGCGGUUUUGUAAGACAGGCGUGAAAUCCCCGGGCUCAACCUGGGAAUUGCGCUUGUGACUGCAAGGCUGGAGUGCGGCAGAGGGGGAUGGAAUUCCGCGUGUAGCAGUGAAAUGCGUAGAUAUGCGGAGGAACACCGAUGGCGAAGGCAAUCCCCUGGGCCUGCACUGACGCUCAUGCACGAAAGCAUGGGGAGCAAACAGGAUUAGAUACCCCAGUAGUCC
rnacentral:rRNA from 1 species